CUACAGCCAAUGGGCAAUGGUAAUCUCUGGGAGUUGGGUCGUUGGGGUAGCUUCUCACUAUGUCCUGAUUUGCCCCUUGGCAAAUUGCAGUAUGGAUGCUAGGGAGAGUUAAUUCUUGAUCAGAUUAAUCCUGGGCAAGUUGUAACAAUUAAGCACGAUGUUGCUGUUCCCCUACAGCUGAUGUCAGCAAAACUGAUCUGUGGAGGAGGUGAAAUUUGAUAGAGAGAAACAGGUUAAGGAGUUGAAAAAUCCUCACUGUCAGAUGUCUCUUGAAACUUUGCAGAUGGCUUUUAUACAAAAGACAACAGCAGAGGAGAGGAAUGAGUUAACAAAGGUGGGAAGUUAAAGAGCAAAGCAGCACAGAGAUUGAUACAGCUCAUUUGAAUGCAAAAAGCUGGCAGGAGGGGCAAAGCCAGACCCACGUUGGUCAGUUCAGCCUUCAGUGCCUUCCAAUUCACCAUAGGGAAGGAAAGCCCUACACCCCAAGCACCCAAGGGGCUAGUAGGAUGAGUCUGUUUUGACUACCAGGGGUGCCCAACCAUUCAAGUUUAGUGGGAAAUAAGGGAAAUAUGAAAACCCCCUAAUGUUGAUUAAUAUGGGAGCCUUGAUCAGCAUUUUUUGUAGCAGUGAUGGGUUUCAGACAGGGUUAUGAUGGACCCUAGAUCAUUUGUAAUGGCGACCUUAUACUGGAGAGUUAAAAAAUCACUGAUUAAUAAGGAGUGAAAGUUGGUAAAGAAACACACAGUAAAGAAAGAUAAGUGGAGGAGAGAGUGAGAAUGAAAUUUUAAGAAUGAUUGCUUUAUAGCAGAGAGAAAUAUGGCAACCUUGAGAGAGAGCUGCCAUCUGAUCUCAGAGGAUGUCUGAGGUGGUUAAGUAAAAUAACUUUUAUUGCUGGUCCAAUAAGAAAUCAGUAGCAGAGAAAAUUAACUUCCUGUGCUAGAAACACUGUGAAUAUUUCUAAUAGAAGUAGAACCUAGGGAGCCUAAUGAUUAAGCAGUUUGUGCAACACAAAGUGUGUAAGCAGUGUUGUGUCUUUGCUCUGAAAAGUGUAAAUUGGAAGUUACAGAUACAAGAUAUGGCAAGCCAAAAUGUUAUACGGGCAACACAGCUGCAGCAAGAUAAAAGGAAAAAGGAGAAAGGGUCCAGCUCUGCUCCAAGGCCAAGGACAGUGGAUGUGAAACAGAUAUCUUGUGAUCCUAUGUGCCCCUGUGCCUAGUGAGAUAGAAGGGGACACAGGUGAGAUAAGCAAUGUUACUGGACAUCUGAAUAUUCUUAUGGUGGCUUUGCAGAGAUUGUGCUAACAUGUGUGUGUUGCAAGGUAGAGAGACUGUUGGAAGUGUAAGUAUGUGCACUCUCAUUGGUAAUGGGGUGAGAAAUGAAUUUACUACCUCCCCCGCUCUCCAGGAAUAGGGUGGAGAUCCUAGAAAGGGCAAUUAAGCUGCUUUAAAGGCCAAUUUUGUCACGUGUACAAGUGCCCCUAGUUCCCCCCACCCAUCCCAUCACUUGCUAAUCAACAUUCAGGAUUGAGCAUUCACCACUGUCUGGACAUGGUGAGGUGCUGUUUGGCAUUUUGAAUGAACUUGUGCAACAGGUUGGCAGAGAUGUGCAAAUUUCUCACUCUUCGGGAUGAAAGUUCAGCACUCCGGCAGAGCAGGAAGGUUAUCCGGUUAAUAUGUAAGCAGUCAAAUUCCUUAUUCAGCAGAUGCUGAUGUGUGUGCUGACUGGGGCCUGAAGCUGGGGAUGUGCCAAACACAUCAAAGGAGCGGAACAGAGUACGGUGGGCAGCAUGCUUAAAAGUGGUCCGCACUGUAUAAACUCUGCUCCCACUGAAGUCCAUGACCUUUCUGAGUGAAUAGAAAUGUCACUCAGAAGCACGGCUGGGCCAACUCUGAAGAGUUUUGACACCCUCGCUCUGAUUCUUCAAGGAAAUCAAAUCCACCCACCAGUACUAAUAGGUUGUUUCUUUCUUUCUUAAACUCUAGUGCUGGACAAUCGAUUUCUGACAGGCAGAUACAUUUAGGGGGCCUGUACAUGAGCCAGAAGGCUGCUCUGAUGAGCUGUAAUUACAGUGUGUUGGAGCAGACUCAAUUAAUCAAGUCUGCAGGAGCAUGCUAAUUAGCGCGCUCCAGCUAGCCUCCGUGUCUCAUGAAUUAGCGCACUCCGGCUAGCCUCCUGUGCUUCAGAAGGGUGCUUUAACUAAAGGUUGUUCAAUGAGCUUUAGAUAAAGCAUCCCCACUGCCAUUUUGAAGAGAGGGGACACUGAUACCCUAGACUCUGCGGGCACUUUGAUUAAAGCUCUAAUUAAAGGGUCCCCCUCACCCCUGGAGCACAUGUAAAAAUGAGUCUAAAGCCUAUUGAAAUGAAUAGAAGUCUUUGUAUUGACAUCAACCAGGUGUGAAUUCAGCCCAACCUUAAGUGUCUUUUCCUCUAUCAACUAAUAGAAAAGAAAGCAAGUAUAUCAAGAUCUCCCCGAUGGCAGAUACUACUGCAUACACAGUUGGGUAACUCUAUGUGUGGUAUCAGAUUUUCUACAACAACAUCUUAGUUUAGUGUGCAAGCUCUGCUGGGCAGAAAGAGGGAGCAAUGUAUUGUAUAAGCUAAUCAUAAUAUAUAUGUGUGACAGCAGUGGGAUCUGCUCUGCUAACUGAAUUUGAACUGUGAAAACUCUGCUAACUGGAUGAAAACUACAGCUCUCAGAGACCCUGGAUGCUGAGAGACAAAGGAGGAGGAACCAGAAGCGGCAGAAAGCACAGGACUCAGCGGCAGAUGAUAAGAUGCCUGAAGACUACAGAGGAGUCAUGGAAGCAGUAGUGUUGGAUUGCAGCAGCAGAACUCGGAUGGGCAGAAAUCAGUUGGGUGCUCUCAGGAUUGGAGGCUGGUUGGAGCGCUUCCAGAGGUGUGGGAGGGAACCAAGUUGAGUGAAGAUACCACAUUGUUAUUGCUUGUGAUGUGUUAUUUAGCCAUUAAAUGUCUGUACUUUAAUGUUAA